ensembl:lncRNA
GAAAAAACUGUUUAAUGUGGCCCAAGGGGGAGGAAAAAUGGAAUGAAACUGAGCAAAGGCAGAACUUGGAAAGAAAAUGCUAAUAGAUGUAUCUGCCCAUUGAAUAAUCUUCUAAAGGAGUUCCUUGAAAUCCUGUAAUCUGAAGUAUUCGAAAAUGCAAACAAAAAACCUCUCAGAAAUUUGCUGGGGAAAAAAAAACAACAACCAUUUGGAUAUGGACACACAAAAAAUGAACUGCAUGGAUUUAAACUCAAGGAAGCUGUCAAAAGGAAAGAAGUCCAUGAAUGACACUUACAGCAAAGGCUCUGACCACGUGCUUCAGACACAGCAAUUCUUCAGAGCACAGAGAGAAACUCCGGAGUGUGACAAGAUCACAAAGCAGUACUGAGUUGGACAGUCCUCUGCACAGCACGGGGACGGAUCACCUUCUUCAGCCCUGCCAUGUACUGCUUAUGUCCUGCAUAUCUAAAGUGCUUCCUGCAUAUCUAAAGUGCUUUCUGGAUUGUGGGGUUUUUUUCACAUGCAGCCCAGACCAGAUACAAAACAGUAGGUGCACAGAAGUACAGAACUCAAAAGAAGAUUAAGGAAUCCACUCUUAGCAGCUCACUAACCCUGCCAGACACAAACAAUUUAUGACACAGUGAUUCAGAAAGUAAGGAAUCAGAGGAGAGACAGUUUCAUGAAAAACAAAAGAUAAUAUGUGUUUUAAGUAGACUUUUGUGUUAAAUCUGUAUAACAUCACUUCACAGGGUUACUUGAAAACAUUUCCUCCGUAUUUAAGCAGUGCUUGAAGUGUUUUGGCAUGUAACAUAAUUAGUUAUGGUUGAAAAAUAACAACACUAUAAUUUGGAAGGAAAAGAAAUACUGUUGAAAAAAAAAUGGUAUCAGGAGCAAAUGGUAUGACACACAGGGGAACAAAAGAUAGAGUAUGGUUUAUAACACUGCCAAUUAAUGCAGUAAGAUGUAAACCACAAAUACCAUCAGACACUAUAAGGUACAGCACAGGGACUAAAACCUCAGUCUUCUUCACAGCUCCACAAGAUCUCUCUGCAGCAAUGGUGUCAUAUCUGUAUCUUUCUAUUGUGCGAGGAUUCAUAUUUUGGUUAAAUUAUGAAGAUGGUUUCCAAUUCAAUUGAAACAAAACAAAAUUUAAUUAAGCUUGAUGGCUUCUGCUUUCCAAGGCAGGUAUUGUUAUAUGUGCAAUGGUAACUAUAUGAUAAUGUCCUCUUUCAUCUGAGGACAAAAUGUAUUUUCAUAAAGGUCAGCUUCUGCCAGGAAUAUAUUUUAAUUUGCUAGAAUUUCAAGGAUGACAAACAUCUCACUUGGAAAAAAAAAUGUUAAGACUACUGUUGACAAAACGUCUCUGUUUCUCAUCAGAAAGUAUUUUCUAUAUUUAUUUUAAGUUACACAUAGAUUCUGUUUUGAACAAAAAGGAGUUUGAUUCUUUUUUUAGUCUCAGCUUUAAGGGAAGAUCCCAUCUCUGCUGGGUCUGCAGUCUCUCCUUACAGUGCCUUCAGAAGGGGCCAUGCUUUGAAAAAAAAUGUUUAAAUUAUUAAGGUUGAGGUAAGAUGGAGCAUAAACUACAGUUCAGCCAAGUACCCAAGAACCAAAUGCUUAAGCAUCUACAACAAUUCUGACCCCAAACUUCAUCACUUUCCAAAUCCUCAACAGAUUAGGUGCCAAUUCAUUUCUAGUAAUCCAAUUACCAAAUACACUUUUGUUGCUCUGGAAAUAUUUCAGAAAUGAUUAGUCUUCAAGUUUCUUAUAGCACGUUUAAUAUUCUCUUUCAUACAAAAACUGAAGAGCUGAUAGCUUCCUAAAUAACUACAAUUUGCUAAGCUCAUUAUUUAAAGCGCAAUGAUUAUCUACUAAUAAUAACGAAUGCACAUACUAUUCCUCAAAAAUUAAAGUCUGUGAGGAAGACUCCUCUGAAAAUAUGGUACAGGGAAUAGUUUAUUUUUUUCUUAAUUAGCAACCAGCUCUCUAUAAGAUUAUUCUGCAGCUAAUCAUCCUGCUGCCAGCAGCAAAAUAAAACAGACUCCCCUGAAGUAAGUUUGUCUUGGUAAGAUUUCAAGAUAACAGAUUGUGACAUAAACCUCCUCAGGUUCAUACACUUGCACUGUUCUGCCAUUUUAAAUAAACACUUCUGUUAAAAUGUUUAUCCACUAAACAUACAAAGAACAUUUUCAUCACAAGCACAAACACUGCUUUUAAAUAAAUGAAGGGGAUGACAAUAUAUGUGCUAGAGUCCCAGAGUCUAAGACUUCUUUAUAUUAGAAGUAAGCCUCCAAAAACUUCUGAAUGGCUGAAAAAGACACUGUCCUCUGCUUUAAUGAAGAAGUGUCUUUGAAUUCUAGAUAGCACCUAGUACUCUUAGGGAAUUGUUUUCCCACUUCUAAAGAAAUCAAAACAGUUUGUGCACAUCACAGCUUAAGACUCUACCUGCAACUCAUUACCUGUAAUUCAGCCAUUGAGUCAUUAUCUCCCUGAAAACUAGAAAUAAUAUCAUAUGCACUUGCAAUAUUAUUUUCACACC